UCUGAAUUUGUUCAAUCGAUUCAGAGUACGUUUACCCAGAGUUAGGCAUGUGCAUGAACCACAAUAACAAGCCAUCAUCAAUGGAGCCCCGAUACCUGGAUUCACCACAACAAUAACCAUGCCAGUUAUUUCACUCCACUCGAACAAGAGGUUCUAAUCAAAGCGUAUGGGGAAUACGAAGUGGUAUUCAGUAGAAAAUGCAGCACUGUUGUUGCUAAGGAGAGAGAAGCAUCAUGUGAGAAAACUGAAGCCUGAGUCAAUGUGUAAGUUAGACUACACUAGUCCAUUGACUUAAUAGCCUAUUUAACUUAAUUAAAAGUGAAGCAUGUAGGUUAAAACAUUAUUGGAUUAAAUAAAAGUGGUG